rnacentral:rRNA from 1 species
CCUACGGGUGGCUGCAGUCGAGAAUCUUCCGCAAUGGACGAAAGUCUGACGGAGCGACGCCGCGUGAUGGAUGAAGUCCUUCGGGACGUAAACAUCUUUUAUGGAGGACGAAGUUUAUUGACGGUACUCCAAGAAUAAGAGGUUGCUAAACUCGUGCCAGCAGCAGCGGUAAUACGAGUGCCUCGAGCGUUAUCCGGAAUUAUUGGGCGUAAAGGGUGCGUAGGUGGUCAUGUUAGUCUCUCGUUAAAGCCUCCGGCACAACCGGAGAUCUGCGAGGGAAACGGCAUGACUCGAGGAUGCAAGGGGUUUCUGGAACUCUAGGUGUAGCGGUGAAAUGCGUUGAUAUCUAGGGGAACACCAAAAGCGAAGGCAAGAAACUGGGGCACUCCUGACACUGAGGCACGAAAGCGUGGGUAGCGAACGGGAUUAGAUACCCUUGUAGUC